rnacentral:rRNA from 1 species
GGCUUGUUGAUUAUAAUUUCAAGUUUGACCUGCCCAAUGAUUAAUUUAAUGGCCGCGGUAUAUUGACUGUGCAAAGGUAGCAUAGUCAUUAGUUUUUUAAUUGAAAGCUUGAAUGAAUGGUUUGAUGAAAAAGUUUCUGUCUCUGUAAAAAUUUAUUAGAAUUUUAUUUUUAAGUGAAAAAGCUUAAAUUGUUAUAGAAGACGAGAAGACCCUAUAGAGUUUGAUGUUUAGUUUAAAAAUUUAAUUUUUAGGAAUGAAAGGUUUAUUUUUGAUUAAGUAUUUUAUUGGGGUGAUAGGAAAAUAAGUUAAACUUUUCUUAUAUGAGUACAUUUAUUUAUGGAUUUAUGAUCCUUAUAUUAAGAUUAAAAGAUUAAAUUACCUUAGGGAUAACAGCGUGAUCUUUUUUAGAGUUCUUAUCGAAUAAAAGGGUUGCGACCUCGAUGUUGGAUUAAAAUGAUUUAUUGGUGAAGAAGCUAAUAAAAUAGGUCUGUUCGACCUUUAAAAUUUUACAUGAUCUGAGUUUAAACCGGUGUGAG